ACGCUCGACACCUACGGAGAGGCAGCAGUGGGAAUAUUGCACAAUGGGGGAAACCCUGAUGCAGCGACGCCGCGUGGAGGAAGAAGGUCUUCGGAUUGUAAACUCCUGUUGUUGGGGAAAAAAGAGGAUGGUACCCAACAAGGAAGUGACGGCUAACUACGUGCCAGCAGCCGCGGUAAUCUGAGCGGGCUGGCAAGGC
rnacentral:rRNA from 1 species